rnacentral:rRNA from 1 species
CGGUGAUCCUAUGCUGCCGAGAAAAGCCUCUAGUGAGUGUCGUGGCGGCCCGUACCCCAAACCGACUCAGGUGGUCAGGUAGAGAAUACCAAGGCGAUCGGGUGAACUGUGGUUAAGGAACUCGGCAAAUUGCCCCCGUAACUUCGGGAGAAGGGGGGCCUCCGCUGGUGAUCAGACUUGCUUUGUGAGCUGGUGGGGGUCGCAGAGGCCAGGGGGAAGCGACUGUUUACUAAAAACACAGGUCCGUGCGAAGUCGUAAGACGAUGUAUACGGACUGACGCCUGCCCGGUGCUGGAACGUUAAGGGGACCGGUUAGCGCAUCUUCGGGUGUGCGAGGCUGAGAACUUAAGCGCCAGUAAACGGCGGUGGUAACUAUAACCAUCCUAAGGUAGCGGAAUUCCUUGUCGGGUAAGUUCCGACCUGCACGAAUGGCGUAACGACUUCCCCGCUGUCUCAACCGCAGACCCGGCGAAAUUGCACUACGAGUAAAGAUGCUCGUUACGCGCAGCAGGACGGAAAGACCCCGGGACCUUCACUACAGCUUGACAUUGGCGUUUGGAACGUCUUGUGUAGGAUAGGUGGGAGACUGUGAAGCUGUCACGCUAGUGGCGGUGGAGUCAUUGGUGAAAUACCACUCUGGUCGUUUUGAACGUCUAACUUCGGUCCGUGAUCCGGAUCAGGGACAGUGUCUGGUGGGUAGUUUAACUGGGGCGGUUGCCUCCUAAAGAGUAACGGAGGCGCCCAAAGGUUCCCUCAGCCUGGUUGGUAAUCAGGUGUCGAGUGUAAGUGCACAAGGGAGCUUGACUGUGAGACCGACGGGUCGAGCAGGAGCGAAAGCUGGGACUAGUGAUCCGGCGGUGGCAUGUGGAAGCGCCGUCGCUCAACGGCUAAAAGGUACCCCGGGGAUAACAGGCUGAUCUUCCCCAAGAGUCCAUAUCGACGGGAUGGUUUGGCACCUCGAUGUCGGCUCGUCGCAUCCUGGGGCUGGAGUAGGUCCCAAGGGUUGGGCUGUUCGCCCAUUAAAGCGGUACGCGAGCUGGGUUUAGAACGUCGCGAGACAGUUCGGUCCCUAUCCGCUGCGCGCGCAGGAGACUUGAAAGGAGCUGUCCCUAGUACGAGAGGACCGGGACGGACGAACCUCUGGUGUGCCAGUUGUUCCGCCAGGAGCAUGGCUGGUUGGCUACGUUCGGAAGGGAUAACCGCUGAAAGCAUCUAAGCGGGAAGCUCGCCUUGAGAUGAGGUCUCCCACCACGUGAGUGGGUAAGGCCCCCGGGAGACGACCGGGUUGAUAGGCCGGAGGUGGAAGCACGGUAACGUGUGGAGCUGACCGGUACUAAUAGGCCGAGGACUUGACCAC